GCCUGGAUGGCUCAGUCGGUUGAGCAUCUGACUUCAGCUCAGGUCAUGAUCUUAUAGUUCUUGGGUUCAAGCCCUGCAUCCGGCU
rnacentral:tRNA from 1 species